AAGUCGAGCGGAGAUAAUCGCGAAGAGGUUCGGCCGAAUUCAUGAUUAUCUAGCGGCGGAUGGGUGAGGAACGCGUGGAGAACCUAGCCCUUCACAGGGGGAUAACAGUUCGGAAACGGCUGUUAAUACCGGCAUAUGCUCACAGCACCGGCAUGGUGCAGGGAGGAAAGCCGAGACGGUGAAGGAUGGCUCCGCGUCGGAUUAGCCAGUUGGCGGGGUAACGGCCCACCAAAGCGAUGAUCCGUAGCCGGCCUGAGAGGGCGACCGGCCACAUUGGGACUGAGACAGGCCCAAACUCCUGCGGGAGGCAGCAGUGGGGAAUAUUGGGCAAUGGGGGGAACCCUGACCCAGCAACGCCGCGUGAGGGAAGAAGGUUUUCGGAUCGUAAACCUCUGUCCUUGGUGAAGAGUAAGAGACGGUAGCCAAGGAGGAAGCCCCGGCUAACUACGUGCCAGCAGCUGC
rnacentral:rRNA from 1 species